rnacentral:rRNA from 1 species
AUGGAGACCAGCCAGAAAACUUUGCCGGACAUCCCCGGCGACCUCUUGGAGAAGAUAUUCGUCCGGCUGCCCACCCCAGAAGAUCUCGCUCGCACCUCCGCCGCCUGCGUCACGUUCCGCGGAGUCGUCACCGACGGCUCCUUCCUCCGCAGCUUCCGCCGCCUCCACGCACCACCAGUCCUCGGCUUCUUCGCGCAUAGCCAGUUCCAUCCCGCUCCGCCGCCUCACCCCUCCGCGCGUGCCGCCCGCGCGCUUGCCCUAGCCGCUGACUUCAGCUUCUCCUUCCUCCCCUCCUACUGCAGAUGGGGCGUCUGUGACAGCCGCGAUGGCCGCGUCCUUCUUGCUCGCAAGCCCGAAAAGGGCAAGGAGGCCCCGAUCUUCACGGAGCUCGUGGUGUGCGACCCCUUGCACCGGCAGUACAUCCUGCUCCCCACAGUGCCUGAAGAUCUGGUGGCAUCGGUGGAAAACUCGGUCAAGGAUUGUAUUCUCUUCUUCAUUUCACCCAACAAGGCUGAAGAGACUGAGUUCAGAGUGAUCUGGAUGGCACGUUGCGGAAUUAAUCUGACCGUCCUCGUCUUCUCUUCCAGCACCGGGGAAUGGCUAGCCGCCUCAUCGUCCCAGGACUGGAGGGAUAUAGUCGUUGUCGGUGACCCGUUCUAUUUUCUCAGGCCCCAUUUCUCAGGUGGCUGCAUCUACUGGGACUCGCCGUUGAACCAGAACAAGUUGCUCGUGCUGGACACUAGUACUAUGGAGUUCUCCAUUGCAGAUUUCCCACCUGGAGAAUGGGGCGAUGUAAAAUUAGCUAUUGUCGAUGCAGGGGAAGGCAGGUUUGGGAUGUUUAGCAUCCAUGAUGGAGAUGAAGGUGGUGAAUCUGUUCUUAAUUAUAUGGUUGGGCAAAACAAAGGUGAGAGUUCUGGCCAGCUGAAGAAAGUCUCACUCUCACUAGGUUAUGGGCAUCGGUAUUAUUUCACAAACUAUGCAACACAGAAUUACUUGAUCCUAUUAAGGACAGAAGCUAGGCCGUACGUAGGCUUAUCACAGGCCCCAUCGAAGAUAGAAUUUUUCUCACUGGAUGUCAAGACAAUGCAGCUUGAGAGGAUGUUUAUUGAACCUUCCAUGUUUGGUGGUUCUAAAGUGCACAUAUAUACCAACUUCCCACCGUCGUUAUUGUCUUCACCAACAAUAUGA